GCAGGGCUGUAGCACCAGCCUCCAAAGUAGGUUCUGGAAUGAUGGGGAGUUCCAGUACCAACAGUGGAAAGGUUGGCUGCUGAGCCUGAACGG